GAUGAACGCUGACAGAAUGCUUAACACAUGCAAGUCAACUUGAACUUCGGUUUGGGUGGCGGACGGGUGAGUAACGCGUAAAGAACUUGCCUCACAGAUAGGGACAACAUUUGGAAACGAAUGCUAAUACCUGAUAUUAUGAUUAUAUGGCAUCGUAUAAUUAUGAAAGCUAUAUGCGCUGUGAGAGAGCUUUGCGUCCCAUUAGCUAGUUGGAGAGGUAACGGCUCACCAAGGCGAUGAUGGGUAGCCGGCCUGAGAGGGUGAUCGGCCACAAGGGGACUGAGACACGACCCUUACGCCUACGGGAGGCAGCAGUGGGGAAUAUUGGACAAUGGACCAAGAGUCUGAUCCAGCAAUUCUGUGUGCACGAUGAAGUUUUUCGGAAUGUAAAGUGCUUUCAGUUGGGAAGAAAAAAAUGACGGUACCAACAGAAGAAGUGACGGCUAAAUACGUG
rnacentral:rRNA from 1 species